GAUGAACGCUGGCGGCGUGCCUAAUACAUGCAAGUCGAGCGAACGGACGAGAAGCUUGCUUCUCUGAUGUUAUCGGCGGACGGGUGAGUAACACGUGGAUAACCUACCUAUAAGACUGGGAUAACUUCGGGAAACCGGAGCUAAUACCGGAUAAUAUUUUGAACCGCAUGGUUCAAAAGUGAAAGACGGUCUUGCUGUCACUUAUAGAUGGAUCCGCGCUGCAUUAGCUAGUUGGUACGGUAACGGCUUACCAAGGCAACGAUGCAUAGCCGACCUGAGAGGGUGAUCGGCCACACUGGAACUGAGACACGGUCCAGACUCCUACGGGAGGCAGCAGUAGGGAAUCUUCCGCAAUGGGCGAAAGCCUGACGGAGCAACGCCGCGUGAGUGAUGAAGGUCUUCGGUUCGUAAAACUCUGUUAUUAGGGAAGAACAUAUGUGUCAGUAAAUGUGCACAUCUUGACGGUACCUAAUCAGAAAGACACGGCUAACUACGUG
rnacentral:rRNA from 1 species